UACGGAGGGGGCUAGCGUUGUUCGGAAUUACUGGGCGUAAAGCGCACGUAGGCGGCUUUGUAAGUUAGAGGUGAAAAGCCCGGAGCUCAACUCCGGAAUUGCCUUUAAGACUGCAUCGCUAGAAUUGUGGAGAGGUAAGUGGAAUUCCGAGUGUAGAGGUGAAAUUCGUAGAUAUUCGGAAGAACACCAGUGGCGAAGGCGACUUACUGGACACAUAUUGACGCUGAGGUGGCGAAAGCGUGGGGAGCAAACAGG
rnacentral:rRNA from 1 species